GCCUACGUGAGGCAGCAGUGAGGAAUAUUGGUCAAUGGGCGCGAGCCUGAACCAGCCAAGUCGCGUGAGGGAAGACGGCCCUACGGGUUGUAAACCUCUUUUGUACAAGGGUAACCCUGAAUACGUGUAUUAAGGUGCAAGUACUGUACGAAUCAGGAUCGGCUAACUCCGUGCCAGCAGCCGCGGUCAUACGGAAGCACCAAGCGUUAUCCGGAUUUAUUGUGUUUAAAGGGUGCGUAGGGGGAUUGUUAAGUUAGAGGGGAAAUGUCCGGGCUUAACGCGGGAACUGCCUCUAAUACUGGUGAUCUAGAGAGUAGAUGCGGUAGGCGGAAUGUAUGGUGUAGCGGUGAAAUGCUUAGAGAUCAUACAGAACACCGAAUGCGAAGGCAGCUUACCAAUCUAUAUCUGACGUUGAGGCACGAAAGCGUGGGGAGCAAACAGGAUUAGAUACCCGAGUAGUC
rnacentral:rRNA from 1 species